CCUACGGGUGGCAGCAGUGGGGAAUAUUGGACAAUGGGCGAAAGCCUGAUCCAGCCAUGCCGCGUGUGUGAAGAAGGCCUUCGGGUUGUAAAGCACUUUCAGUGGGGAAGAAAGCCUUGGGGCUAAUACCCUCGAGGAAGGACAUCACCCACAGAAGAAGCACCGGCUAACUCCGUGCCAGCAGCCGCGGUAAUACGGAGGGUGCGGGCGUUAAUCGGAAUUACUGGGCGUAAAGCGCGCGUAGGCGGUCUGAUAAGCCGGUUGUGAAAGCCCCGGGCUCAACCUGGGAACGGCAUCCGGAACUGUCAGGCUAGAGUGCAGGAGAGGAAGGUAGAAUUCCCGGUGUAGCGGUGAAAUGCGUAGAGAUCGGGAGGAAUACCAGUGGCGAAGGCGGUCUUCUGGACUGACACUGACGCUGAGGUGCGAAAGCGUGGGUAGCAAACAGGAUUAGAUACCCCGGUAGUC
rnacentral:rRNA from 1 species